GAAGAGGCAUAUGUUCCAUAUUUAGAUCGAUCGUUGAUUUUUACAUAUUAGGAGGAUAGCCUUCCAAUUUUGGUUCUCAUGGCCUGUAUCAAAUCACUUUCCCAUUAUACUUGAAUUCUAACGUAUUAGGUGGAGUUAUAGCUUGAAUCUUAAGGAAAAAGUAUGUAAUAAGGAGGUGUUUGGAAAUAUUGGAAUGGGAAAGCAAAGAUUUUAAAGAAAUGAAAGAGUUGGACAGAUUGGUGACAAAGUGCAAUAUUUCUAAGAGUAGACAAGUAAAUUAAUAAGGUCAAAAAAUGAGUUCGAUGAAACAAUUAUGGAGAAGAGAUAUUGAUGAUAAAAGGUGAGCAUUGAAUGGGUUAAGGGGAUGCCAAUAUGAGAUUAUAUCAUAGGGUUGUUUCCAUGGAAAAGCUCCAAUGAAAUAAACAUGUUGGUUUUACGAUUACAUAUUAAUGUCAUCCACAUAGUCCUUUUGUCAUUGUGUCAUCUGAUGUCACUUCUUACAAGCAUUUCUUUGUAUCUAAGACUUUAUGCUUAGGGGACAAGAAUUUUGCAACUUAAACUUCAGGUUUUAGGUUAUCAUAUGAAUAUUGAUCACAUCGAACGUCGGUUUUCCCAUCUCAAAUAAUACCCCG
rnacentral:lncRNA from 1 species